GUUAUAUGGUCAAGUGAAGAAGCGCAUACGGUGGAUGCCUUGGCAGUCAGAGGCGAUGAAAGACGUGGUAGCCUGCGAAAAGCUUCGGGGAGUCGGCAAACAGACUGUGAUCCGGAGAUGUCUGAAUGGGGGAACCCAGCCAUCAUAAGAUGGUUAUCUUACACUGAAUACAUAGGUGUAAGAGGCGAACCAGGGGAACUGAAACAUCUAAGUACCCUGAGGAAAAGAAAUCAACCGAGAUUCCCUUAGUAGUGGCGAGCGAACGGGGACCAGCCCUUAAGUUGUAUUGAGAUUAGCGGAACGCUCUGGAAAGGGCGGCCAUAGUGGGUGAUAGCCCUGUACGCGAAAAUCCCUUUGCAAUGAAAUCGAGUAGGACGGGGCACGAGAAACCUUGUCUGAAUAUGGGGGGACCAUCCUCCAAGGCUAAAUACUACUGACUGACCGAUAGUGAACCAGUACCGUGAGGGAAAGGCGAAAAGAACCGCGGAGAGCGGAGUGAAAUAGAUCCUGAAACCGUAUGCGUACAAGCAGUGGGAGCCCACUUUGUUGGGUGACUGCGUACCUUUUGUAUAAUGGGUCAGCGACUUAUUUUCAGUGGCGAGCUUAACCGAAUAGGGGAGGCGUAGCGAAAGCGAGUCUUAAUAGGGCGUCUAGUCGCUGGGAAUAGACCCGAAACCGGGCGAUCUAUCCAUGGGCAGGUUGAAGGUUGGGUAACACUAACUGGAGGACCGAACCGACUACCGUUGAAAAGUUAGCGGAUGACCUGUGGAUCGGAGUGAAAGGCUAAUCAAGCUCGGAGAUAGCUGGUUCUCCUCGAAAGCUAUUUAGGUAGCGCCUCAUGUAUCACUGUAGGGGGUAGAGCACUGUUUCGGCUAGGGGGUCAUCCCGACUUACCAAACCGAUGCAAACUCCGAAUACCUACAAGUGCCGAGCAUGGGAGACACACGGCGGGUGCUAACGUCCGUCGUGAAAAGGGAAACAACCCAGACCGUCAGCUAAGGUCCCAAAGUCAUGGUUAAGUGGGAAACGAUGUGGGAAGGCUUAGACAGCUAGGAGGUUGGCUUAGAAGCAGCCACCCUUUAAAGAAAGCGUAAUAGCUCACUAGUCGAGUCGGCCUGCGCGGAAGAUGUAACGGGGCUCAAACCAUGCACCGAAGCUACGGGUAUCACUUUUGAUGAUGCGGUAGAGGAGCGUUCUGUAAGCCUGUGAAGGUGAGUUGAGAAGCUUGCUGGAGGUAUCAGAAGUGCGAAUGCUGACAUGAGUAACGACAAUGGGUGUGAAAAACACCCACGCCGAAAGACCAAGGUUUCCUGCGCAACGUUAAUCGACGCAGGGUUAGUCGGUCCCUAAGGCGAGGCUGAAAAGCGUAGUCGAUGGAAAACAGGUUAAUAUUCCUGUACUUCUGGUUAUUGCGAUGGAGGGACGGAGAAGGCUAGGCCAGCCUGGCGUUGGUAGUCCAGGUUUAAGGUGGUAGGCUGAGAUCUUAGGUAAAUCCGGGAUCUUAAGGCCGAGAGCUGAUGACGAGUGUGCUUUUAGAACAUGAAGUGGUUGAUGCCAUGCGUCCAAGAAAAGCUUCUAAGCUUCAGGUAACCAGGAACCGUACCCCAAACCGACACAGGUGGUUGGGUAGAGAAUACCAAGGCGCUUGAGAGAACUCGGGUGAAGGAACUAGGCAAAAUGGCACCGUAACUUCGGGAGAAGGUGCGCCGGUGAGGGUGAAGCAUUUACUGCGUAAGCCCACGCCGGUCGAAGAUACCAGGCCGCUGCGACUGUUUAUUAAAAACACAGCACUCUGCAAACACGAAAGUGGACGUAUAGGGUGUGACGCCUGCCCGGUGCCGGAAGGUUAAUUGAUGGGGUUAGCGCAAGCGAAGCUCUUGAUCGAAGCCCCGGUAAACGGCGGCCGUAACUAUAACGGUCCUAAGGUAGCGAAAUUCCUUGUCGGGUAAGUUCCGACCUGCACGAAUGGCGUAACGAUGGCGGCGCUGUCUCCACCCGAGACUCAGUGAAAUUGAAAUCGCUGUGAAGAUGCAGUGUAUCCGCGGCUAGACGGAAAGACCCCGUGAACCUUUACUAUAGCUUUGCACUGGACUUUGAAUUUGCUUGUGUAGGAUAGGUGGGAGGCUUUGAAGCGUGGACGCCAGUCUGCGUGGAGCCAACCUUGAAAUACCACCCUGGCAACUUUGAGGUUCUAACUCAGGUCCGUUAUCCGGAUCGAGGACAGUGUAUGGUGGGUAGUUUGACUGGGGCGGUCUCCUCCUAAAGAGUAACGGAGGAGUACGAAGGUGCGCUCAGACCGGUCGGAAAUCGGUCGUAGAGUAUAAAGGCAAAAGCGCGCUUGACUGCGAGACAGACACGUCGAGCAGGUACGAAAGUAGGUCUUAGUGAUCCGGUGGUUCUGUAUGGAAGGGCCAUCGCUCAACGGAUAAAAGGUACUCCGGGGAUAACAGGCUGAUACCGCCCAAGAGUUCAUAUCGACGGCGGUGUUUGGCACCUCGAUGUCGGCUCAUCACAUCCUGGGGCUGAAGCCGGUCCCAAGGGUAUGGCUGUUCGCCAUUUAAAGUGGUACGCGAGCUGGGUUUAGAACGUCGUGAGACAGUUCGGUCCCUAUCUGCCGUGGACGUUUGAGAUUUGAGAGGGGCUGCUCCUAGUACGAGAGGACCGGAGUGGACGAACCUCUGGUGUUCCGGUUGUCACGCCAGUGGCAUUGCCGGGUAGCUAUGUUCGGAAAAGAUAACCGCUGAAAGCAUCUAAGCGGGAAACUUGCCUCAAGAUGAGAUCUCACUGGAACCUUGAGUUCCCUGAAGGGCCGUCGAAGACUACGACGUUGAUAGGUUGGGUGUGUAAGCGCUGUGAGGCGUUGAGCUAACCAAUACUAAUUGCCCGUGAGGCUUGACCAUAUAACACCCAAGCAAUU
rnacentral:rRNA from 1 species